GUCGAGAAUAAUUCACAAUGGACGAAAGUCUGAUGGUGCAACGCCGCGUGGAGGAUGACGGUCUUCGGAUUGUAAACUCCUGUCAUCCGGGAGUAAGACCUGGCUGUGAAUAGCAGACAGGGUUGAUAGUAUCGGAAGAGGAAGGGACGGCUAACUUCGUGCCAGCAGCCGCGGUAAUACGAAGGUCCCAAGCGUUGUUCGGAAUCACUGGGCGUAAAGGGAGCGUAGGCUGCGCGGUAAGUCAGGUGUGAAAUCCCGGGGCUCAACCCCGGAACUGCACCCGAUACUGCCGUGCUAGAGUGUUGGAGAGGUGACUGGAAUUCUCGGUGUAGCAGUGAAAUGCGUGGAUAUCGAGAGGAACACUCGUGGCGAAGGCGAGUCACUGGACAACAUCUGACGCUGAGGCUCGAAGGCCAGGGGAGCAAAAGGGAUUAGAUACCCCUGUAGUCC
rnacentral:rRNA from 1 species